rnacentral:lncRNA from 1 species
UCAUCUCAUUAGCCUUCUCGGCGAAGUGAGGUGUUACAGUUAUUACAUUCGGCACAUUGAAAGCCGAAUUCGGUUCGUGAACUUUGUAAGAGUAGCAGCCUUGUCUUCAGGCUCGAGAACCCAAGAGGCCGAGACGUGUUCCUUUCUCGGCCGCAAUCGCAAGACGCAGAAGUCAGUAGCGCGACCCAACGCAACAUCAUCAAAUUUACUCCUCGGCCGAGCCUCGGCCGACGAGUUGGCACGCCCCGCAAUCACCGAAGGACGUAGUUAGCUUAGAAUAUACUCGGCCUGCGCGCCACGUAGGCUUUGUAAUUUCUAGGGUCAACACAUGCAUUUUUGAUACUUGAAUUGACAACAAGAGUGACGAUUAUUUUCCAAAAUAAAAAUAAUUUUAUAAUACAAAAUCAUUUCACCAACUGCAUUUUAAAAUUAAGUUUCAAUUUAGUUUUUAAAUACCUUCCAAAAUAAAAAUAAUUUUAUAAUACAAAAUCAUUUCACCAACUGCAUUUUAAAAUUAAGUUCCAAUUUAGUUUUCCACUAUUUAAAAUUAUUAAGUUUUAGACUAUAUUUAAGUUCGAGUCUGCCUCUCGUUAUAAAAAGUUAAGCACACCAACUAUAAAAUAAAUUAGGUGCAAUGGGACAUUAUUUUAUACAAGAACACAUGUGAGUUUAUUGGUGCAUGCAAUUUUAUUAGUUUUUAUUCAAUUAAUAUGUAUUCUAAUUCCUUGAUUUGCUACAUGCGGAUUUAUUUAAUCCAAGGCAUGCAUCAAAGUGAGUGUAUGAGUGCGUCUUUUUUUUUUUCCAAGAGUCAAUGGAAGGUUUAAGCAGAGAUCAAAUCUUCUACAUUAAAAAUGAGCAUGGCCUUUCUAUGGCCCCAAUAUCAUAGAGAGGCCACAUCUAUUUUGGAUGUAGAAAAUUUGAUCUCGCAUGCCAAAUUAUAAAUCCAUUUGAACAUGUUAUGAUGAUAAAAAGAAAAUAAAAAUGUGAAUUAAUGGUUAAAAAUGAAAAAAUUAAACAAUUAAAUUGUUUUUAUGAUGUGGUAUUUUUAUUACUAUAAUUUUAAAGUUAAUAUUUUUUAGAUCUUGUAUCCCUUUUUGAUGUAGGGUUGAAACUUGAAGUUAUGAAUAUCAUUUCUUAUAAAAAAAUUAUUUUAAUUUGUAGAAAAGAGAAUUUGAGAACAACGACUCUUUAAAAAGUAAGACUGUUUAUAGACUUUAGUUAUCUCACGUUUUUUACAUAAUGUUUUAUGAUGUUGAUACAAAAAUUAACGUUAAACUGAGAUAACAUAGAGUCUAUAAAAAAUCCGUAGUAUCUCUAGAGAGCAAGGGAAUAAACACACUACAUAUAACCAGCAUUACUUGCUUUCCGAAAAAGCAGAAGAAAAAAAAAGAACACAAGAAUAUAUGAGCCGUGUAAAUUAUCUGUCCCAGAUGCGAUGAAUAAUCAAAUAGAAAUAAAUACACAAAAUUAGCUGUCUCGGAAACGAUGGCAGUCUCGUAGUUUUCUCCAAAAACAAAGGGUACUUGUGUUUCCCUCGCUAUUAUACACCGCUGUGGCCUCGACAACUGAGGCGCUCGCUUCUAAACAGGAGAGAGUCGUAGUGCGAAACCAAAAUAACAGAGAGACGAGUGGAGAAGCACCACUGCCAUCAUGUGUCCAACAAAGCAAAAGCACCGGAGCUCCGUCGCCGACCACGCAGGAAAAUGCUCCGAAUCGGAGGAUUCUACAACCUCCACCGCCGACUGGAUCUCCGAGUCCGUCCACGGCGGAUCCUUGCGCCACGUGGACCUCACCACGGGAACCAACGGCUGGGCGUCCCCUCCCGGCGACCUAUUCUCCCUCCGCACCAAGAAAUACUUGUCGAAUAAACAAAAAGGCUCCGCCGGCGACUACCUACUCCAGCCGUGCGGCACAGACUGGCUCAGAUCCAGCACGAAACUCGAUAACGUACUCGCCCGCCCCGAUAAUCGCGUGGCCAACGCGCUGCGGAAGGCUCAGUCGCAAGGGAAGUCGAUGAAGAGCUUCAUUUUCGCCGUGAAUCUCCAGAUUCCCGGCAAGGACCAGCACAGCGCGGUUUUCUACUUCGCGGCGGAGGAUCCAAUCCCCGCCGGCUCUCUCCUCUACCGGUUCAUCCACGGCGACGACGCGUUCCGGAAUCAGCGGUUCAAGAUCGUGAACCGGAUCGUGAAGGGGCCGUGGAUCGUCGUGAAGACGGUGGGGAAUUACAGUGCGUGUUUGCUGGGGAAGGCGCUGACUUGUAAUUACCACAGAGGACCCAACUACCUCGAGAUUGACGUCGAUAUCGCGAGCUCGGGGAUCGCGAAGGCCAUUUUACGACUCGCAUUGAGGUACGUGACGAGCGUGGCGAUAGACAUGGGGUUUGUUGUGGAGGCGCAGGCGGAGGAUGAGCUACCAGAAAAGUUAGUCGGCGCGGUUAGGGUAUGCCAGAUGGAGAUGUCGUCGGCGACGGUCGUGGACGCGCCGCAGAUCGUAGCGCGUGGAUUGAGUUUUGCGUCGAUGUUGAAUCAUCAUAAGUCCGGCGACGAUGACGACGACGAUUGAGAAUCUUAACCGGCCGUAGCUUAUUUUUGUUUUUUUGUCUUUUUUUAUUUAAAAAAACGUUUAAUUAUUGUUUGUUGUUAAUUGUAAUUUUUUUUUUCCUUGUUAAUUGUAAUUUUCACUUGGUGGGUUCAUCCCUUUUUUCAUGGGGAUUGAUGUGUAGAUAAUAAAAUUGAAAUCGUAACAACAAAUUACAAUGCAACUGAUUUUUCACUUUCCACAUGUUUUUUAGGUUUCUGGAUUAAUAAGAAAAACAUAAAUUUCAAUAUUUAAACUUGUUUAAUGAUAAUAAAUAGUGGGGCGAGGAUGUAGAGAUUUUGGUAGUGGGAUAUGGUAACGGUAAAUACGUAAGAGAAAGCACAAAUGUAGCAUGCCUACUAAGCAUUAGGUUUUCAAGUGGUUCCAAAUUUUUAUUUUUUUUAAUUUUUAUUUUUAUCAAAAUCGGUCUUAGCUACACUUUUAAACGAAUAUAUGUCGUUUUUUGUGUAAUGACAUUAUUUGUGGUAGUACAUUGUACCCUAAAGCCUUGUUUGGUAGUGUGAUUGUGACAAGUCUAUUCCAUUGUAAAUGAUUCAGCGAUAUAUUGUACAUUGCGUUAAUUUAUAGAAUUUAGAAGUAAAAAUAGACCUCAUCCCCAAGAAUUAGGGAUUAGGAUUUUCUGCUCCUCUAUUAUCAUCACCUUCCAUUCUUCCGUCUCACAUUUUUUUUUCUUUUUGGUUUUAUUCUUUAUAUAAAAAAUUCAAAACAAGAUGUAGAUGUGUCUGCAAUAGCUUAAAUAGAAGGGGAUGAAAGGAGAAAGAGAUGAGGAGGGAAGAUAAUCCUUCAAGAAUUAGACACUAUGAAGAUAUUUCUUUAGGAAUCCGGAUUCUCGCCAGAUCCUCUUCGUGAGGAUCCCGAGGAUCCAUGAAUCGUGUCCGUUCAUCGUACAUCGUGCGAUUAGAAAUUAUUUUAAAAAAAUUUAUUUAAAAUUAAACACAAACAGUAUUUGACAAUAACUGAUCACAAAAUGUAUGAUGAAUGGACACGAUUCACGGAUCUCCAGGAUCCUCACUAAAAAGAUCCUGAGAGGAUCUUGUUGGUUUCUUUAGAACCAAGACAUAGGACCUAUUGUCCUUAUAUGUUCAAUAGUUGCUUAGUUUAGCAGGUGUCCAAUAGAUGGUGGUGGAUCGAUUACCUAAGAGAUAUCUCGACAUUAUGGGAUUAGACGCAGUAUUGUCUUGAAGCGGCAGAGAACUAGGAUAUAAUUAUAGUAUAACUUCCGUCGUUUAUUUCUCAUAUGUAAGAUAAUGUGGGAGUAGAAAAAUUACUCCACUAAGCAACCCACUAGGAUGUCAAACAUGGAGAAAUAGAAGGAAAGUGGGACUUGGAGCCCAAUUACUUGAAUGCCAAUAAAAGGUUAAUAAUCCCACCAGCAUAUGGGGUUGGGGGAAAAGGAGAGGUGUGAGAUUGUUUUAUGUUUUACAAGCAUCUUGAACAAACAUUGAUUUGAGUGUCAGGGUGUUUUAUUGCAUGUCUCCUUCCUUCCUCAUUGACAGCGAGCAAAGAUGAUGUUGUGGACUUCUCAACAUGGUUACAAGAUUACUUUGUUGGUGGAAAAUUGAAAUACUCGAAAUUUGCCUCUCCAACAGAUACUUAUCACAAAAACACAACACCUUGAAAAGUUUAAUGCCAUUUGAUUCAAUGUGAAAACUGUAACAAGCAUCCGAACAAGAUUUCUUGGUUUCUCUCUUCCGAAUGAGACCUAAUAACUUCUUGAUGUGGGGUCGGGGUUGGUGGGUAAGAAGGCGGCAUGCCUUAGCCCAGCUUGCUGAAGUUACUAGCCUACUGUGGUAGUACCUUUUACCCAAAUGAAAUAAGAGGUUAAUGUGUUCCCGAUUAGGACCUUUCGGCCAAUUAUAAAGUGGCUGAGGGUCUCCCUUCCCACCGCUGAAAGCAAUUGUGGACUCAAAUGUCAGAAUCUUGUGUCAUCAUCAUCGUUUUUUCAUUCAACAUAAAGUUUCUAUCGAUGACGAACAAAUAAAACUUUAGUUGUACCAUUUUUUGUUUUGUUUUUUUAACUCGUCUUGUCACGAUAUUCUUCUUGUUUUUUGGUUGAUAAAAUCCUUAUAUUUUUGUUGAUUAUAAUUUAUAAACCAAUGUGAUGUACAAUACGUCCGAGUUCAAAUCAUUUUCUCCUUAAUACUUUUCUAAUUUAAGUUGUUACCCCUUAAUUUAAAUUAGUUUUAAAUUGAAACAUUUAGUGUUUCUAGUGUUUAAAAUAUUCACGAAACUGUCGAUAUUUCUAUCAAAAUAUCCCAAAAAUCAUGAAUUAAUUUGAAAAUGGGUUGAAAUGCAAACUUUACCUUAUAUUGAGAAGAUAUAGCAAUUAUAAAAAUUUCAUCAGAACCCAUUGCAGAUUUCGAACUUCAGAUUUUUUUCUUUCUCUAAUUCGACUAAAUUUGAAUGAGUUGAUAUACUCAUCCCAUUACAAAUUUCUUUAACGACCAAUAUUGUUUAGUAAAUUUAAUUAUAUUUUCAUAAAUUUACAUAUCGUUAAUUUUAGAGUUAAAACCAUCUAACUGCUUGUGAUCCAAUCCAUCCAUCAGUUGAAAUAAAAACAACUUUCUGUUUGCAAUCGAAGUCUCUCGAUCUCAUAUCAAGAAUCUAGAGGGGCCCGACUCUUUUGAGCGUUUUAUUUCUUGAAUCAUUAUUCACCAUCCACUUGUCAGAACUAGGAAUGUCCGACCAAUUUUGAUAUAUUUUUUGCUUUAUUUCUUUUCCCGUAAUCCAUAUUAUUUAAAAAGAUCAUUGAUCCUAGUCGCAAUUGUAUUUUGUUUUCUUUUUUUCUUUUGGCAACUUUCAAUGUGCUUGGCUGUUAUCUUCGGCAACUUUCAGUAAGUUCUGUUGUAAUAUAGAAAAGAAGAUGAAAAAGAUGACCACUUCUCAAACAUUGUAUGUUAAUUUUUCUCGUUUUAUAGAGAUUUUUUAGUGUGUUCAAAAGACGGACGCAUACAUCAUAUGUCAUUGUACAAGUGGAAGAACAUUUAAAAAAAAACUCCUUCCACUUGUGCUACAUAUAAUGUACUAACAUGUGUUCUGAACACAUCAAAAAAUUUAUGCUUAUUUUACGGGUGAAUCACUAGUUCAUCGAUUUAUGGAGCGAAAACUGUCAUUCCUUGUAUAAAUCUUUAGGAUCUUGGAAAUUGUUUUAUGUUGAGACAGUGGACUUCAAUUUUGGUAUUGAUCUUCUUGUUUCCACAAGCUUAUGAGGAAAAACAGAGCCUUCCUAAUUUCGCGCACUUGGAAAUAUCAUGUUUGUGCGUGUAAAGUUAAUUCAACUAUUCAUGUUUGUGAAACUUACAAACGAAGAAACAAUGCAAGAACGACAAACCUUACCACUCUCCUUUCACACUAUUAUCAUGCCUUGUGUGUUUUCCGAAAGAUUUUUCAAUAGUUUGUCAUAAAAACGGUAUGGUAAACCAAGUAUUAUAAUACAGAUGGUUGAAUACUGAAAAAAAAUAAUUUUAACUACUUAUAUAAUGACACUUAAUGUACCAAAUCAUUUCUUAACACUGAAAAAUUUCUCGUGUAUUGCGAUGCAUUAUUUUCUGUCUCCUGGGAUUUCAUCCACACAAGAAUAAGUGGACUCGUGAGUGAAGUCUAUAAAGCAUGGUGGAGUGCUGGCUUAGGCAAUGCUUUGCUUCUGCUGCAGCAGUUUAAGCGGGAUUGUAGUGUCUUUGUUUGGUUGUUCUGUUCUGGGCUCAAAACUUUGUUUUGGGGGUCCAUAUCUUUUUUUCCUGCAUUUUUGUUUUUGUGUUUUUUGUAAUUGGACCUCUUUUCUUUGUAAUGUGGUCUGCUGUUAGUAAUAAAUUUACCUUUUAUAAAGGAAAACGUAUUAUUCAUGAUAAUUACUGUUACUUAUCCAUGAAUACUAGUUUCAAGUAACUUUUUCAUACCAUGGUUGGUUAUAAAUAUAUAUGAAUCACACAUUCAUUCAUACAAUAAUUGAAUGUGGUGCAAAAGGGAAGUUAAUAAUGGUAAAGGCAAUCAAUGGUUCAAAUUUUUGGGUAAGAUAGUAAUGCGUCACGUCGUGUUAACAGUUUAGAAUUCAUGUAAUAAUACGUGUUAUAACUAUUACUAAUAUAUAUACAUAAAUUUGUCCUUGAUCCAUGUCAUAUUAUAACUAUUUGACAUGGCUUGCUAGUGCUGCUAUUAUAGUGGACUCGUGAAGUCUAUAAAGCAUGGUGGACUGCUGGCUUAGGCAUUAGUGAGAGCUUGACCCACCUAAUUCAUCGACAUUCUCUUCUUUUCUUUUUUUCUCCAUCUUUUUAAUUUCUCUUUGCCUUUCCGAGACAUUUACGAGUGACAAAAAGGUAAAAAUGAACGACUUUUGCCUCGUCGUGUACACGGGGAGAUGCAAACUUUGAGUUUUGUUGACCAGCUGCGUUUUUGGUAAAAAUGAACAAUUUUUGACUCGUGCUUGGUCUUCCUCGAAGAAUUGUGUGUAACAUUCAUGAUGAUCUGUAGCGGUUUUGGUUUUUUGUUGGUUGGGUUCGUGGCAAUGGCCAUGCAUGUGCACCACUAGUUCUGAUGCAUGUUUCUUGUUGUUGUGACCUGAAUUAGUGAAUCAAUUUCCAAACCUCUGUCAUCAAUUUCAAACUUAAGCCAUCAAUUUCAAUUCCCCUUUCCCAUCCUCCACAUCCAUGGUUUUAUUCCUUCCUUCUCCUACCCAUCCCAACUGGCUCCGGGUUUCCUCGACCCCACAUAUUUGCGGAUCUUCAGACACUCUCCUUCAUCACGUUUUGACUCGAUUCUCUUGGGAAGUGCAUACCUUUCUAAGAGGAUUUUUGUCAAUCUAACCACUUCACUUAAUGAGGAUAUUGACAUAUUUUUCACUGAAUGAUCAAAAUGUUUACGGUGGACAAACUCAGAGAACAAAGUGAAGAGUUAUGCCAAUUUCAUGAAACAUUUUAGUGAAAAAGCCUAGAACAAAAUAAACCUAGGAUCCCCCCAUAGCCACUAAUGAUUCAAUAUGCCAAUCCCUUUGUUCACACCACCACCUCCCAUGGAUCAGGAAAUGCGUUUUGCUUCGAUUCGGGUGUUCACACCGCCAUCUCACAUGAAUUUGUCCUGGGCGGCUUCAUUGCCUUCGGUGACCUUGUUGUUGGCGGGUCAUCUUUCCCUAGCUUUUCUUUGGUUUGUGGUUGUUGUUUUGAUCUAUAUGGUGCUUCGUGGAGGUUGUUGGAGUCGUCUUUUCCAUCAUUUUUGAGGAUUUGGUUGGAUGUUUGAAAUUCUAUUUCUCGACAGUUCAAGUAGGAUUGUAGGGUUGUUUGGUUUUUCUGUUCUGGGCUUAAAACUUUGUUUUGGGGGUCCAUAUCUUUUUUUCCUGCUCUUUUUUAUUUUUUUUGUAACUUGACAUCUGUUUGUACCAUACUUGACCAAUCCCAAAACUACUGAGCACCAGUCAACGUUAUACCGUCAAUGACCCAAAAGAGUUUCCCUCUAACGAAGAGGCCAAUCACAGCGCGACACGUGUCGACAUCAGAAGCCAAUUAUAGCGCGACACGUGUUAACAUCAGAAGCCAAUCACAACACGACACGUGUCAAUGUUAGAAUGAAACUAGAAACUCUCUUCUAUAAAUAGAGAUCAUUCUCUCACAAUAUUUCCUAAGGUUAUUUGUACUAAAUCAUUCACUAGUACUCAAUAAAGGAGAGUUUGAACCUAUGUACUUGUGUAAACCCUUCACAAUUAAUGAGAACUCCUAUACUCCGUGGACGUAGCCAAUCUGGGUGAACCACGUACAUCUUGUGUUUGCUUCCCUGUCUCUAUCCAUUGACAUACUUAUCCACACUAGUGACCGGAGCAAUCUAGCGAAGGUCACAAACUUAACACUUUCUGUUGUACCAAAGUCCUCACUGAUUUUGUGCAUCAACAUUUGGCGCCGUCUGUGGGAACGACACUUAUUCCCACUCUCUUCAGCUUUGUCAAGCUGGUUUCCACCAUUCGUACACUCUCUUUUGACCAGGCAUCCCUCUCAAACAUGGGGAGCGAAGGAAGCCACAACACACAGAAUGACACCCCUCUUGCACCUAGUGCGAAGCAACGAAAGAAGGAAGGAAAGAGGGUUGCUCUUCAAGCUAAAGUCGAUGAGCUAGAAGCUCAAAACAACAAGAUAGCAAUGAAGAAUGAGGUCCUUCAGGAGCAGUAUGAGAAGCUUUUUGAGACGCUUCACGAAACUAUGCGUACUCAAACACGCGAGCUUGUUGCCUCUGUGGAUAUCAACCAUCAUCUGGGUGCCCCCCAACACGGAGGGUCACCUUCCUUCGACAUGGGUAUCCCUGAUGAGGAGUAAGCUAAUCAUCAAAACAUUGAUCAACAUGAGACUUCUCUUAACCUAGCUGCUUCGACCCUAAGCAGGAGAAGUGGAUGAAGACACCUCCUUGCAGAAGGGUUGGAAGGAUCGAAAGCCGUUUAUCGUGACUGCCGAGACUUCCUAAAGCAACGUCGAGAGAAUCCUCUCCACAUAUGCUCGAAGAUCAAUGACCCAAGGGUUUCUGAAAGACUUGGUCCCCUCUCACGACCCAGGCCAGCUGCCAAUCUAGGGAAGGAACGACAUGUCCUAGAGGAACAUGAAGGUACAUGAGACUCUGAGGUAUUCCGACAGACUCGUCCUAGAAGUUAGUACGGCGAGUCCAAGGAAAAAUCACACGCCCUUACUCAAACUUUCCUACUUCCAAGAGGCGAUGAAGACUUACGAAAGAAAAUCCCAGUGGUACAUGACUCAACUCAAGACCCCCUUGUCCUACAACUCCUUAAGGAAGUCAACAAGUUGAAGGCCGAACGACAACCUGAGAUACCUGAUUGGAACCAACCUAGGCCUGACCCUCUUACAAGGAGGAUCCUGGACACCCCCUUCCAAGCAAAGACAAGGCAGAAGCUUGGCUUGCAACUCUAUACUGGAAAUGAGGAUCCGAUUGAACACCUUAACCUUUUUGAGUCCACCAUGGCAUACCGGAUGCACACCGACGAAGAGCGAUGUCUUCUCUUCCCCUCCACCCUUUCUGGCGAAACUUUAAACUGGUAUUGCUGUCUUCCACCUGAGACGGUAGACUCAUUUGAGCAAUUGAGGAAACUGUUUGUUUCUCAACACAUUUUCCAGACCGAUCGUUUGCACUCUGCAGAUAACUUAUACACUAUUUGCCAGAAGCCAGAUGAGUCAUUACGUAUGUAUGCUGGCCGCUUCAUCCAUGAGUAUUCCCGUUGUGCUGAGGCAGACGACAAGACUGCCCUCAAAGCCUUCACGGCAGGCCUACGUGAUUGUUUCUUCAAGUACAUGAUCAAUGCCAACACUUGGAUGACUUACUCUGAGGUGAUGGCACAAGCUUACAACCAUGCCUCCGCUGAGGCAAUGACAUAUCAAGGGAAACCCCCCACAACCACCCCUUAUCAGCAAGUAGGGAGUGGAAGCCAGAUCCAACCAAAUGAGAAGACCUCGACCUUCCAAACGGCAGCGGUGCCUCCCUCUGCCUUACUUAAUACUUUGCCAAGUCAACAGCCAUAUCAAUCUCAGGGCAAAAGGAAAGAUUUCCCUCCUCACCAGUCUCAUUUUAGUAAAAUGAGUAAGGGACACUACCGCGAUAACCAAGGGUAUCACCGCGAUAAUGCCCGUCCCCAGGCAGUUAACGCAGUGGGCCAAGCACGUGUCAGGACAGACCCUACCCCGAGGUAUGAGACAUACACGCCUUUGAAUGCCACAUGCGUGGCCAUUUACCCCAGCAUAGCACACCUGAUACCGAAGCCAAUGCCGAGGCAGUCGGGUUACAAGCCCACGAAGAACACGGGCACGUUUUGCUGCUACCACGAGCAUAACGGCCAUGACGGCGAGAAGUGUGUCACCCUUCGUGAUCAUAUUGAAGCUUUGGCGCGUGAAGGAAAAAUUGAUCAAUUCCUCAUUCACCCUUCAAGGGAUAACCGUAACCAACGCCAAGUGAAUGAUAUAUUCCAUAAGCGGCGGCACACCCAUAUCUGAAUCUUCCAAUAGAGCCAUGAAAAAUAGCGAACGAGUUUUAAGGCCUGGUCACCAAGUGUUUCACGUGGAAGACAUCAUGGGAGGCAACUGUCAAAAGCCUAACUGGGAUCCAAUAUGUUUCUACCCUGAGGAAGAAAGAGGUAUCAUCUACCCUCACAAUGACCCACUAAUCGUGGAAGCUCACAUAGCCAACUUUGAAGUACGGCGAAUCCUGGUAGACACGGGGGCUUCGGUCAAUAUCAUGUUUGCUGAAGCUUUUAGGGCACUUAAUGUAGCUGAACACUUGCUCGAUCGCUCGAUUUCCCCUCUGAUAAGCUUCUCCGGUGAUAUUGUGUAACCUUUGAGGAGCAUACACUUACCUUUCACCAUUGGUACAUGCCCUUACACAGUUACCAUUACCACUAACUUCCUGGUGGUUGAUUGCUCAAUGGCAUACAAUGUCAUCUUCGGACGCACAUGUAUCAAUGAUCUCAAGGUCAUGGUAUCCACACAUAUGUUGUUGAUGAAAUUUCUAACCCCUAUGGCAAUGGUUACAUCAGAGGAGAUCAACUUAGUGCACGAUCAUGUUACAACACUUCGGUCAAGCAACAACAUCUGCCUGUGCCCAAGGAAACCCUUUCUAUACAUGACCAAGUCAUAAAGACCAGCCCAGACGAAGCUAACUUGGAUCUUCACGGUGGCAAUAGUCAACCCGAUGAUCCUCGAGAUGACUCUUUCACCCAGCAAACACAACCCGCUAAAGAGUUGAAGAAGGUCUCUAUCUCAAAAGAUUAUCCGGGUUGCAUGGUGAAGAUUGACACCACCUUGUCACCACCCAUUCGGUUGGCAUUGAUCUCUUUUUUGCAAGAGAACACUGAGGUCUUCGCCUGGUCAUACGAGGACAUGCCAGGCAUAUUUCCCGAUAUCAUCUGUCAUCGCUUACGUAUUGACCCUAAGACUAAGCCAGUGAGACAGAAGCGAAGAUCCUAUGACGCUGAACGGUACGAGGCAAUGAAGGCAGAAGUUGAAAAACUUAAAGGCAUAAGCUUCGUCCGCGAAGUCAAUUAUCCAACGUGGGUAGCAAAUGUUGUCUUUGUUAAGAAGAAUCCGACUAAGGAAAGUCUCUUGCUCCAAAAGGUCUUGUGGAGAAUGUGUGUCGAUUACACCGACCUAAACAAAGGAUGCCCGAAGGAUAGCUUUCCUCUUCCUCUCAUAGACAGACUUAUAGACUCUACGGCAGGGUGUGAACUUCUGAGCUUCAUAGAUGCUUAUUCAGGAUACAACCAAAUCCUCAUGAACCCUCUGGACCAAGAACACAUAGCCUUCACUACUGACAGGGGAUUAUAUUGUUAUAAAGUCAUGCCCUUCGGCCUAAAGAAUACAGGAGCAACUUAUCAGAGACUGGUCAAUUCAAUGUUCGCCGAACAGAUUGGGAAGAGCAUGGAAGUUUACGUUGAUGAUAUGCUAGUCAAGAGCAAACAUGCUGACCAACAUAUCACCAACCUAUUUGAAACUUUCAUCAUUCUGAAGAAGUAUCGAAUGAGGUUACACCCCAACAAAUGUGCCUUCGGCGUAGGCUCUGGAAAAUUCUUAGGCUUCAUGAUAAGCCAACGAGGCAUUGAGGCUAAUCCCGAGAAGAUCAAAGCAAUCCUUGACAUGAAGGAACCAAUAACUUCAAAAGACAUCUAGAGCCUUACUGGUAAGGUGGCAGCCUUAACUAGGUUCAUCUCUAAGGCCACAGACAGAUGUGCUCCUUUCUUCAAAGCACUUAAAGGAAGUAAGAAGUACAUUACAUGGAUUGAUGAAUGUGCUGAGGCCUUCAAGAACCUCAAAGCCUACAUGAGUAAAGCCCAUUUGCUCUCCAAACCUGAGGUUGGUGACACUCUCAUUAUCUAUUUGUCGGUAUCGGCUUCAGCAGUAAGUUCCGUUCUCAUUUGAAAUGAUGGUAAUGUCGAACGGCCUGUCUACACAAGGCCUUACAAGAUGCGGAGACACGAUACUCUAACAUUGAGAAAUUAGCUCUAGCAUUGGUCAUGUCUGCUCGAAAACUUCGCCCUUACUUCCAAGCACACUUCAUCAUCGUGUUUACCAAUCAUCCUCUUCGACAGAUGCUCCAAAGUCCUGACACUUCUGGGCGAAAGAUCAAAUGGGCGAUAGCAUUGGGUGAGUUUGACAUCUCCUACCAACCAAAGCUAGCUGAGAAGGGCCAAGCAAUGGCAGACUUCAUCGCCGACUUCACAUAUCCUGUUGACAUUGUUUCUACACCUAAAGAAGUGGUUUCAUUACCCUCGGGAGCUUAGAAAAUAGAACCAACAGCCCCAACAUGGAGUAUAUAUGUUGAUGGCUUGUCCAACCAAUAGGGUUAUGGAGCAGGACUAGUCUUUACGACCCCUAACAAAGUGGCGAUGGAGUAUGCUCUUCCUUUCAAAUUCAAGACGUCGAACAAUGAGGCCGAAUAUGAAGCCCUCCUAGCAGGCUUACGUUUUGCCAAACACCUUGGGUUAAACGAAUUGAUAUCUUCAGUAACUCCCAAUUGGUGGUUAACCAAGUCACCAACAACUUUGACGCUAAGGAUAGCUCCAUGGCUGCAUAUCUGGUACAAACACAAUUGUUGCUUAAGCACUUCCACUACCAGAUCACCCAAAUUCCUUGAGCGGUAAACAGUCAUGCAGAUGUUUUGGCUCGCCUCGCCUCAGCGGUGGAAGACAAGAUUGGGAGAAAAAUUCAGGUCGAAUUAUUGGCAGCACCAAGCACCAUGGCUGCGAAAGUGUGCAACUUACAACAGGGGGAUAGUUGGAUUACCCCGAUUUAUAGAUUCCUUGCUCAUGGCACCCUUCCAAAUGACAAAGUUCAAGCUAAGCAGAUUCGAUACAAGGCUACCCGUUACUUGAUCAUUAAUGACCAACUCUACAAGCGGGGUUUUAACCUACCAUACCUAAGAUGCCUUACGCCCGCAGAGGCGGAAACUGUCAUUCGGGAAAUACAUGAAGGAGUCUGUGGAGAUCAUGCUGGAUCUCGAUCCCUAGCACACAAGGCUUUUCGCCAAGGAUAUUAUUGGCCAACACUCCACCAAGAUGCCAUCAGAAUAUCCUGCUCAUGUGAUAAGUGUCAAUGCUACGUAACUAUUCCUUACUCCCCUCCCGAGCCGCUCACUCUUAUGAUCAGCCCUUGGCCCUUCACCCAAUGAGGACUUGAUUUGAUCAGCCCAAUGCCUGCAGGGAAGGGCAAGGUUCGCUAUGCAAUCGUUGCAGUUGACUACUUCACAAAGUGGGCCUAAGUAGAACCCUUGGCAACCAUUACUGAGGCAAAAAUAGAAGACUUCGUAUGGAAGAACAUCCUUUGCAGAUUCGGCAUUCCCAAUGCGAUAGUCACUGACAACGGGCGACAGUUCGACAACAAUAAGUUCAGGAUGUUUUGCUCUAAGUUCAACAUCAACUUAUGUUUUGCCUCCCCAGCUCAUCCCCAGUUUAAUGGACAAGUUGAAGCCAUUAACAAAAUAAUUAAGCGAACUUUGAAAACCAGCUUGGACAAGGCUAAAGGUUGUUGGCCAGAAUUUGUACCCCAAGUUCUUUGGUCAUACCACACUUCGCAUCAGACAUCAACAGGAGAAACCCCAUUCUCACUUGCCUUUGGUACAGAGGCAGUUGUCCCAGUUGAGCUUGAGCAAGCAAUGUUCCGAGUCCAGAACUACGUGCAAAGCGAAAAUGACAAACAACUUACCCUCAACUUAGAUCUAGUCGAGGAACAUAGAAACCAAGCUCACUUGAGGGAUGUUGCCUACAAGCAGUGCAUCUCCAACUACUAUGACUCAAGGGUCAAACCUCGUUCUUUCAAAGUGGGGGACUGGGUAUUGAAGAAAGGAUUACUCUGCGACAGAGUCCCGAGUGAAGGAACACUUAGUCCAAACUGGGAGGGACCGUUUGAAGUUGUUGGCAUCAAUCGCCCUGGCUCCUAUAAGCUUAGAAGCUCCGAUGGCAAGACCCUUGGCCAUCCAUGGAAUGCUGAUCACUUGAAGUACUAUUACAAGUAAACUCACAUUGUACAAGUGUUAAGCUUCAACCGUUCGACAUCCUAUGUAAUGAAGACUAUUUGGCAUGAAUUCAAUAAAGAGGUGAUUUAGACAACCCGAUCCUAAUCCUCUUACAUUCCUAGCAAUGAAACACUCGGGUUCAAAGUUUCAACAUGAAUGCUUCUAACAUGAAACAAAGUCUAAGUAUAUGUCAACAAGACUAUACAAAUAACGAAUAGCUUCACAGUAUAUUCGUUCAAUCAUACAUUCCAACACAUUCAUACAUAAGCCAACUGUGCUUUGAAAGGGUUCAACAUAUUUUGUGUCAUUCGACACUUGCUACAAUGUACCUAGACACCUUGCCCUUAUUCUCACCAAUUAGGUGAUGAAAUGUGAAGAAGGAACUCAUCUUCAUGCCACCAACCAGGUGAUGAAAUGUACAACUCGUACUUUCCUUCAUGCCACCAACCAGGUGAUGAAAUGUACAACUCGUACUCUAAUAUCAUUUGGCAACUUGCCAUUCAUGCCACCAACCAGGUGAAGAAGGAACUCAUGCCACCAACCAGGUGAUGAAAUGUACAACUUAUACUCUCCUUCAUGCCACCAACUAGGUGAUAAAAUGUACAACCCGUACUCUAAUAUCAUUUGGCAACUUGCCAUUCAUGCCACCAACCAGGGGAAGAAGGAACUCACCUUUGUACCACCAACCAAGUGAUGAAAGCAACUCACCAUUCAUUCCACCUACCAGAAAACGAGUGAUACAACUUGUACAUGCGAACUCCUAUCAUUCACAAAUAAUAAAAAACCCUCAAGCUUGACAACUCAACUAUUGGAGCACUUAUGCCCAACAAGAGUUAUAGUCACCAACAAAGCCUUAUUGCAAGCCAACAACAACUUCAGUGCAUAGCAUACGCAGAUUAAGCUAUUCAACCCUCUUGCAUCUGCUUCAAACAUUUCCCUACUGUAACAAUGCAAACACUACAACUUGUAGAAAGCUUCACACACUAUUGAUCAAGACAGUGUGAAGCAAAAUCAAUUUAUGGUGCCAACAAGAGCUUCAUCAAUGGAGGGCAACCACAAUUCUCAAAAGCUUCACACACUCUUGAUCAAGACAGUAUGAAGCAAAACCAAUUUAUGGUGCCAACAAGAGCUUCAUCAAAGGAAGGCAACCACAAUUCUCAAAAGCUUCACACACUCUUGAUCAAGAUAGUGUGAAACAAAAUCAAUUUAUGGUGCCAACAAAGCUUCAUCAAUGGAGGGCAACCACAAUUCUCAAAAGCUUUACACACUCUUGAUCAAGACAGUGUGAAGCAAAAUCAAUUUAUGAUGCCAACAAGAGCUUCAUCAAUGGAGGGCAACCACAAUUCUCAAAAGCUUCACACACUCUUGAUCAAGACAGUGUGAAGCAAAACCAAUUUAUGGUGUCAAUAAGAGCUUCAUCAAAGGAGGGCAACCACAGUUCUCCAAGCUUCACACACUCUUGAUCAAGACAGUGUGAAGUAAAACCAAUUUAUGGUGCUAACAAGAGCUUCAUCAAUGGAGGGUAACCACAAUUCUCAAAAGCUUCACACUCUUGAUCAAGACAGUGUGAAGCAAAACCAAUUUAUGGUACUAACAAAAGCUUCAUCAAAGGAGUUCAACCACAAUUCUCAAAAGCUUCACACAUUCUUGAUCAAGACAGUGUGAAGCAAAACCAAUUUAUGGUGCUAACAAAAGCUUCAUCAAUGGAGGGCAACUGCGAUUCUCAAACCUUCGAAGAAAAUUCAAGACCGUUCGAAGCAAAUUCAAUUUAUAUGGUUCAUCCAAACCUUCGACUACUACAAGGUGUGGCUUGCAUCACAAUCUCUUGCUCAACAGUGUGGAAGAAAAAUUUGUAUAUGUUGUCUCUCCCAUAUUUUCAAAUUUCUAGUUUCCCAAAAAAAAAAAAAAAAGAAAAAAAAAAAGAAGGGAAAUUCAACAAAAGCUUCAACUCCAAAGCUUCACCAAUAAAAGCUUCAACUCCAAAGCUUCACCAACAAAAGCUUCAUCAAUGGAGGAUAACUACAAAUUCUCAAAAGCUUCACACUAUCUUGAUCAAGAUAGUGUGAAGCAAAAUCAAUUCAUGGUACCCAACAAAAGCUUCACCCACAAAAGCUUCACCAACAAAAGCUUCAACUCCAAAGCUUCACCAACAAAAGCUUCAUCAAUGGAGGACAACUACAAAUUCUCAAAAGCUUCACACUAUCUUGAUCAGGAUAAUGUGAAGCAAAAUCAAUUCAUAGUACCCAACAAAAGCUUCACCCACAAAAGCUUCACCUACAAAGCUUCAACACAAAAGCUUCACCUACAAAAGCUUCACACUAUCUUGAUCAAGAUAGUGUGAAGCAAAAUCAAUUCAUGGUGCCCAACAAAGCUUCAACUCCAAAGCUUCACCUACAAAAGCUUCAACACAAAAGCUUUACCCACAAAAGCUUCAACACAAAAGCUUCACCCACAAAAGCUUCACCCACAAAAGCUUCACUUACAAAAGCUUGACCCACAAAAGCUUGACCCACAAAAGCUUGACCUACAAAAGCUUGACCCACAAAGCUUGACCCACAAAAGCUUGACCCACAAAAAACUUCACCUACAAAAGCUUGACCUACAAAAGCUUCACCCACAAAAACUUCACUUACAAAGCUUCAACACAAAAGCUUCACCUACAAAAGCUUCACACUAUCUUGAUCAAGAUAGUGUAAAGCAAAAUCAAUUCAUAGUGCCUAACAAAGCUUCAACACCAAAACUUCACCUACAAAACUUAAAAAUAUAUAUAUAUAUAUAUAUAUAUAUGUUUUUUUUUUCGGAAAUUCGAAAAUUCAAAAAUUCGGAAAUUCGAAAAUUCAAAAAUUCAGAAAUUCAAAAAUUCGAAAAUUCGAAAAUUUAAAAAAAAAAAAUCGAAAAAAAAUCGAAAAAAAAAAAAUUGCCUAGGCCUCAUCUUCUUUAGGCCUAACAACUUUCAUAACAAAUAUAUAUGAAGAAUGAGUUUUGGGCUAUCACUUAGAAAGGAAGUGCCUCAUUCGUCAACUCCCUCGACCGGAGACUUGGGGAACUCCUACCAUAUGCUACUGCACCUUGAUACUCGGAAGUCUCACAAUCACUCAGUGACUUGGAUUUUUCAAGUCUCCAAACGAGAAGUUUUCCUCACUCGGGAAAUUAAGGGAGCACUACCUCAACCUACAUGCUUCACUCACAAAGCUUCAACAUACAAGCUUCAACAAAAGGAAAAAUUCAAAAAACUUAGUGAAGAAGGCAUUGGUGUAUUUAACAUAAUACUUUGAAAUGAAGCAAGACUUGUUUAUUGAUAUCUCCGAUAAGUUACAAAUAUGUACAUAUACAUGAAUCAAAAUAAACAAACAAGAGGGAGCCUUCACAAAGGUUGCUCAGAAGAAGUCUCAGCAGUCGGCAGAGCCUCAGAAAGAGGAGGCACCAGAGGGUGAUUAUUCGGAGCCUCAGUACUAGGCAGAAUCCCAGAAGGAGGAGGCACCGAAGAUUGAUCAUUUGGAGCUUCAUUACAUGGUACAACCCCAGAAGACGAAGGCAAUAAAUGCCUUUGGAACAAACCCACAAACCUCUGAUGAUCAAGUAAAAUCUGACCAUCAUAUUCCUGCAGCUGGUCGAGCUUCCUCUUCAUGUUUGUAACAUAGUCAUGUGCGAGCCUGUGCAAUUGUUUGUUCUCAUGCUUGAGCCCUCUGAUAUCCUGUUUGAGACUUAUCACUUCAGCCGCCAAUGAUUCAACUUAGCGGGUUCGAGCAAAUAGGCGUUGGGCCAUAUUAGACACAUAACCUGCACACUAAACACUGAGAGCCAGAGAAUCCUUAACAGCCAACUCAUCAGACUGUUUGGAAAGUAGUCUUUUAUCUUUGGGAGUGAGAAAGUUCCUGGCCACCACCGCAGCGGUCAUAUCAUUCUUCACCACAGAGUCCCAAACGGUAAAAGAACCAGUAGGGGAUAAGAAGGAUAUGCGUCAUAUGUUGUCUUGAGAAGGCAUGACUGCCUCUUUACCAAAGUUCAAGUCAAAACGACGGUCGGAUGGGCCAGACAUUCUCAGAAAUGAUGAAGGAGAAAUGAGGUGCAAUAAAUCUCUGAAGUAAGGGGAAAAUUCCUACAAGCAAUAACUCUCUGAAUGUACUUCUUGCACACAAUUGGUGCCCUUAUAAAAGAAAGGGCAACAUGGCGUUGGUUCAAAAAUCGAAAAGGCACCACUCUCCGGAUUCCGAAGAGGCACCACUCUCCGGAUUCCGAAGAGGCACCACUUUCCACAUGCAACAUCAGCUCCUCGGGUACCACAGAUAACUUUGCCAAAGAUCUCUGACAAAGUUUAGACACAUAAUUUUGAAGGUCCAACUACCCUACUAUUACCCACAAUGGUAAAUGAACAGCACCACUGUUUGAUAACUAGAAAGUCCGAAUGUGUGUCAACCUCUGUGCUCCGUGGCAAUGCAGACUGGUAAAAAUGCCCAACCUUUACUCACAUUCGAGAAAACACUCCCAACAAGAUUGCUUGCUCAAAAAUCGAAGAGGCACAGCUCUCCGAAUCUCGAAAGCCAGACUCCCAAUAGGAUUACGUGCUCAAAAAAUGAAAAGGCGCCGCCCUUUAAAUCUCGAGAGUCAAACUCCUAACAGGAUUACUUUAUAAAAAAUCGAAGAGACACUGCUCUCCGAAUCUUGAGAGUCAGACUCCCUACAGGAUUACUUUAUCAAAAAUCAAAGAGACACUGCUAUCCGAAUCUUGAGAGCCAGACUCCCAACAAGAUUACUUUCUCAAAAAUCGAAGAUGUGGAUGCAAAUUUUCUCCUGUUCGAUCUUGGACGAUUUUGCACCUACAAAACAACUAGCACCUUAGGUUAAGGCCAAGAGCCUCACGCGCCCACGAUGAAUGGGGGGCUUUGGUCGAAGAACCUCCGAUGCCAAAGUUAGAAUUUUAGAGAGAAAUAGUGUUUAGAAUAUUUGGGAUUUUUUGUAAGAGAAUUGGAACUAGUGUUUUGUGAAAAUGGGACCCAAUUUAUAGGAGAGGAAAGGGUGAUUUAUUUUGGGGGGUUAUGGAGAUAAUGGGCUAGUUAUUUUGGGGAGUUAUGGAAAUAAUUGGCUAGUUAAUUAGCAAAUAGUAAUAACCUAAUUAACUAGCUAUUUGAAUGUCAUAAAAAGGGGGAGAAAAUGGUAGCAACAAACAGAAAAUAAAGGGCAUGGCCGGCCCUAGUGGGUUUUUGGUUAUAAUUUGGAGGUUUAGUUGAUAAUUAAGGGAUUGAUUAGGUAAUUAAUCCCUUAAUUAGUCAAUUUUAGGAAAUAUGAAAGGAAAAUACCAUUUAGCUAAUUUAUUAGCUAAAUAAUGGAAUAUAAAGCAUAUAGAAUAAAUUAGAUUUUUGGGAAUUACCUUAUAGAAAGGAUUUGAUGAAAUAGGCUUUAAAUUGUUACCUAUUUUGAGCACUUUUGAUUUGGUUGAAAGAUGAUUGCCCGCUGCUUGCGCGUAGGAAUCCCGGUAUGCCUCGAGGGUAUUUUUGUCAUCUUUUGUCCAAAAGUUCACGUGUCGCCUAGUGAAUAUUUUUGGCUCCACAAAUGCCCCCACACCUGUUGGGCUGUUUGCCAAAAAAGGGCAACAGGUGUAGAGAUUUUCUCGCUUUAGGCAACUCUGAAUUGCUUCCUAUUUUGUUGUUGAUUCUCUCUUUUAAUAGGAAAUUUAAUCCUUCUAGGAAAAGGAAAUAAAUUUCCUCAAAGCUUAUUUAAGUCCACCUUAAGUGGAUUAUUAAAUCAACUUUUAGAGAAAAACCUAUUCAACCUUACAAGAGAGAAAGAGAGCUUAGAGGAUAUUUAUUCCCCCUCCUCUAGCAAUCUUCUACGUCUUACCCGUGCAAAGGAUCGCCUUUCGUUGCGUGCUUCGUCUUCUUGUUGCUUCUUGGUAAGAAAAGAUUACUUUUCUUGUCUUCUUGAUUUUUUGUAUGCCUUGGGGCCUGUGAAUGGCUCGACUGGAUUUCGAGAUUGCAUGAGAAGAUAGCUUAGGAGACCAUGGCAUAGUUUUGCCGUGGAUGGCUUCUUUGAUUUGGGCGCAGGGGCGCGGAUGUGAAGGAUAGUAAGCCAAGCCGUGAGGCUUGGCAGGUUAGCUGGGCCAUGAGGCUUUAAGCCUUUCUAAUUUUUUUUUUUUUUUUUGAACUCGUGAGCUGUUUCUUUUUUUUUUGUUUUGCCGAGAGCUGUUCUUUUUUUUUUUUUUUUUUUUGAGAGCUGUUUCUUUUCCUUUUUUUUUUGAAAACAACUCUCUAACAAAUCUUCCUUGUACUUUUGCAGAAUUUUCAAACAUGUCUUCCUCGAGCCACAAGAAUGAUGAUGGUGUGCCCCCGUUGUUGUAUCGUCAAGCGGGUCUUUGAGCAAGAUUGGCUACUUCAAAGCUGCUCACCUCAAGAUUAGCUCCGACGAUUUGUUUAGAGAUUUUCUUGAAGCGUAUAGGCAUGCCAUUCCGUCGGGAGUGCGUGUGAGGCGAGUUAAGGAUGGUAGCAGCCGGGAACCAUGCAGUGGAACUCGGAGAGCUAUCAAGUUCCAUCCUUACUAUUUUAUGUUAGGGUUUACUUUCCCUAUGCUGCGUUUCUUCCAAGAAGUGCUUUGCUCCAUGAAAUGUGCGCCUGCCCAAUGUUCCCCGAAUGCGGUCCGAGUGAUGGUGGGGUUCCACAGUUUGAACCAAUUCUUUGACUUGGGACUAACCACCAACGAAUUUUGGUAUUUUUUUGUCAUAGGUCGUAUUGAUGGAGUUGGACAACUGCGAACUCGUCAUAAGCUUUUUGAUAAUUCGAGCAAAUGAGAUCAUGAUUGGGCCAAAGAGACUUUGGAGAUAAGUGGAGAAUGGGAAUCUGAUUCUUCUCCCGAGUUGCGUGUACCAACGGUCUUCAUAUCUGGUAAGCAGACUGCUUAGUCUUUUCGGCUGCUAUGCUUUAGUGCCAAAUUAUUCUUCAAUUUUCUGAUUGUCUUCCGUGUGUUUUUUUUUGUAGAUUCAGAAUUUGGCUCAACUCCUAGGGUUUCUCCAGACAUGAAAAAAAGUACAUGUCGCUCUGGGUAUCCAUUCCGAGUAUCGUGAGUGGCGUUGGCUGCUUAGUCCUCUUCGUAGGGAAAAAUGUGGGCUGCCCCCAAAAGAAGAAAUAAAACGGAUCAAGGCAAACGCAAUGGCUCGUCCUAUCACUGUGAUAGAGCCUACUAUCAAUGAAGGUGGGAAAAAGAAAACAUUCCCCGCCUGCUCAAGAGAUGCCUGCUGAGAAAGAAAACGAAGACUGCUCGCGGGGAUUCUCCGGCUGCUCCCAAGAUUAUGAUUGACCUGACUUCCUCUAAGGGUGAGAAAGAACGAACUGCUACAUUUGUGCCGGUAACGCCUAUUGCUUCGAAGGCUGCUAGCUCGAUUGCUGAAAAAAUUGCUCAACGUAAAAGUUCUUCCGUGCCUUUGGUACCGAAGUUUGUGCCGAAGCGUCCAUCCGGGACUAAGCCUGGCUUACCCUUGAAGAGGCUUGCUACUAUGAAGAGUGAUAAGGUGCCCCUGUCUGCUAAAGUGGCGCCAAAAACUGCUUCUUCCGCUGUUGCAACCAACUCGUCUGCUGAUAAGAAUGAAGCUGCUCGUUCAGGCAGGCUUGAAGAAUCCGCCAAGGUCGUUUCUGGGGAAGCUGCUAAGAUUUGUGCGCUUUUGAAACCAGAUCUUCUUGAAGACAUGGAUGUAUGUGCCAAGUUUGUUGAUGGCGUCAAAGAGAUUGUUGGUCCAAGUCUUUUUGCAAAGCACACACCCGAGUAUAGGAAGACUGCUCUGUUAGCCAUGAUGCAGAAAACAACAAUUCUGGCAGCCGAGUCUAUGUUUCUUGACCAAGAGGACACCAAGGCUGCUAAAGAGAUGGCAAGAACUAUGGCUGCUGAAGCUUACUCCUCGGUCGAAAAAAUCAAGAAAUUGGAAUCUGAGCUUGCUGCUUUGAAGGAAUCUAAUACUUCUGCCCCCACUUCUCUGCAGCUUAAGGCCGCUCGCCAGGAUAUCAUGGAUUUGAAAACUAGGCUUGAUGCAAUCCAAAUAAAGAAUGAAAGUACAGAGAAGGAAAUCGAGCGUUACAUACCUCAGAUUCAAGAUCUUGAGCAUUCCAUAUCUGAAUUUCGCUCCGUUGCUUAUGCAAAGGAUGAAGAAUUGAUUGCUACUUACAACCAAGCGAUCCACUUCAAAAAGGUUGUUGACAGGCUUGAGCCUCAAGUGUCGGAACUUCAAGGUGUUUUGAAGACCAACGACAAUCUGAAGAAGGAAAUUGAGGAGUUGCAACGGGUUCGUGCUUGCCUGCUUGUUGAAGGUGUAACGACCGAGCAUUUAGGAGAUGUCCAAGCUACUGAAGAGUAGUCUUCUAGGUAGCUUUUAGGAUUUCCUUUUCUUUCCUUUGUUGCUUUUGCUUGAACUCCUUCGGUAUUUGCUUGUUGUUUAUCAAUUUUGCUAUAAAAUUUAAUAAACUUGCUUCUUUUGCUUUUCCCAUCCUUGCUUUUUUUUUUUUUUUUUGCCCUAACCUUUAGACCUUAUAGGCCAAUGGCAGGCGUGCUACUUUUCUAUAAGCAGACAAGCCCACAUAGCCUAUGCAGCCGUAGGUGUUGAUGUAGAACUUUUGCAAAGUUGUUAACCAUCGGGUUGGCAGCCGGAUGCCUUACUUCCAGAAGCAGACGAAUCUGCGUAACCACUUGGCUAUUCAACCUUGGCUCUUUCCAAUUCCGUAGGCUGUGUAGCAAGUAUCACAAACACUUUAGGACUUGGUGUAGGUUAUUCUGCGUUUGGCAGAGGUGAAGCUUAUCGACUAUGUAGCAUGUCGGCAGUGGAUAAAAUCUUCUUCGUGUGUGCACGCUAACUUGUUUAACCUUUCAAAAAGAAUGUGCGGUUGCAUAGGUCUAGCGUGGUUCUACUGCUCGAAGGGCAAGCCGUAGGCAGUCUUCUGGAAAUCCGUAGGCUACCUUAGUGCAUUCGGUAGCAGCUUUAGGUUUCCAGGGCAGCCGCCCAUUGGGUGUGCUGCAUAAUGUGCCCCCUCUGUUUCUAGGGCCCAAUUCCCUGCGGAUUAAGCCGAUAUACCCAUAAUCCUUCAACUAGCUAAGCCUUAAAACAGACCAUUGUGGCUACUUCUAGGAAUCCUGGCGCAAGCCAUCAUGAACCUAGUUAUACUAGGGCAGCCAAGCUCAUCCACGUCUGGAUAUUCGGAGUGUUGAGUUUAUCCUCCCGUCUUGGAGAGCACAGUUGGUCCCUCGGGGGGUGCAAUCUUCUUUUGAAGUGUAGAAAGAAAUAAGUUGUUGUAGACAUAUAAUAAAGCCAAGUUACAAAUUACUUCUAAAUUUUUUAUUGAAAAAUAAAAUGAGCAAAUAACUUGGUUGCAAAAACUGCAUGAUGAUUGGAUAGUCAUCGGUUUACGAGGUGGUGCCUGUUGAGCUGCUCGAGUCUUCGGGUCUUGAUAUAGUGUGAAGUCACACAUGGUAUUUCCUCAAAUUGUAGGCAUUCCAUUACUUCUCGAUCUCUUUAUCAUUCAUGGUAGCAAGAGUAUAACUACCCUUGCCGCCUACUCUGCUGAUCUUGUAAGGACCCUCCCAGAUGGGGUCCAUUUUUUUCGAGCCUUCUCUGCGGGCAGUGAUGAAGGCCUUUCUUAGGACUAGGUCUCCAGGUUGGAACUGCCGGACCUUGGCCCUUUUAUUGUAGCUGGAAAUGAGCUGCUGCUGGUAGGCUGCGAUGCGGGUGAUGGUUUGUUCGCGCCUUUCUUCUGCCAGAUCUAAAUCUGUGGCCAUCUCUUUACUGUUCUGCUCAACGCUUGGUAAUAGAGUGUUGAUGCUUGGCACGAUGAUGUUGGGAGGAAUGAUUGCUUUCGAACCAAACGCCAAAAGAGAAAGGAGUUCACCGGUUGCUCGUCUUUUGGUGGUGCGAUAUAUGCCCAUAAACAUCCCGGAAGCUCAUCUGGCCAUUUUCCCUUUUUGUCGGUGAAGGAUUUCUUGAGACAGUCGAGGAUCGUCUUGUUGGAUGCUUCGGCCUGCCUAUUACCUUAAGGAUAUCUUGGUGUGGACAUGUGUUGUUUGAUACCGUAUUUUUGGAAGAACUUUGCCAAAUCUUUUCCCAUAAAUUGAGGGCCGUUGUCAGUGACGAUGGACUGAGGGAUGCCAAAUCGGAAAAUGAUGUUCCUCCAUAUAAAGCGUUCUAUGUCCGUUUGAGUCGUGGUCGUCAUGGGUUCUGCUUCUACCCAUUUGGUGAAAUAGUCGGUUGCCACGAUCAUCAUGCAUCUGCCCCCCAUGGUAGGCGGCAUAGGUCCUACCAGAUCGAUUGCCCAUUGCAUGAAUGGCCAAUGACUCGUUUGCGGGUGUAGCUCACUGUCGGGUAGUGCUGGUACUGGUUUGUAGCGUUGGCAGCAGUCGCACUUUGUACUAACUCCUUAGCAUCUUGGUGCAUGUUAGGCCAGUAAUAGCCUGCGUUAAAAGCCUUUUGGGCCAAGGAUCGGCCUCCAGAGUGAUUCCCGCAAACGCCUUCGUGGAUUGAGCUUAGAACCUUUAAGUCAUCGGGAGGUGCUAGGCAGCGGAGAUGUGGUCCGGUGUAGGAUCUUCGGACGAGAAUGCCAUUCCACAUAUAGUAGCGUGCCGACUUAAUUUGGAGCUUCCUUGACUCUAACCUUUCUGUGGGUAAUGUGCUGUUGACCAAGUAGUCUAUAAUUGAACUUUGCCAAGUGGGGAGUUACACUAACCUGUGACACUUUGGCUAUCGGCUCCAUCUCUAUGCUUGGCUUGUCUAGAUAUUCCACCGGAAUAGAGCGUUUAAAUUGGUGGUCAAGGGCGAAGCCUAAACUAGCUAGUGCAUCUGCAUGUGCAUUGUCUGCCCGCUGAACUUGAGUGAGAGUGUAAGUCUGAAAUGCUUCAAGCUGCUGGCGUACUUUCUCUAGGUAUUGUGCCAUCAUUGGGUGUUUUUCCGUGUAUUCCCUAGUAGCCUGGCUGGUGAUUAGUUGGGAAUCAUAAUGAAUUGCGAGUUUCUUCACCGCCAAGUCUUUUGCCAUUCGGAGGCCUGCUAGUAGAGCCUUGUACUCUGCUUCGUUAUUGGAUGCUUUGAAACCUAGAGUGAUCGCCUGCUCGAGCAUUGAGCCAUCUGGAGUAACAAGAACUACACCUGCUCUCGAGCCUUUAUAGUUGGAUGCUCCGUCGACAUGCAAGUUCCAGAAAUCUUUAUUGGAUGGAGUAAGUGUGGCUAAGGUACUCUCGGCUGCUUCUGGGGCGUCGUUGGGCCGCACUGCUGCGUUGCCUAGGCUAGGUGUGAAUUCCGCUACGAAGUCUACCAAGGCUUGGGCCUUUAUCGCUGUGCGAGGUCGGAAAACUAAACCAUAUUGACUAAGUUCUAAUGUCCAUUUCAUCACUCGUUGAAAAGCGCCUGGACCAUGUAAUAUUGAUCGUAAGGGAUAUUGAAUCAUAACAAUGAUUGUAUGAGCUUGAAAGUAUGGUCUGAGCUUCCGAGCCGCAACAACUAACGCCAAAAUUAAUUUUUCGAUCUUCGGAUAUCUUGUUUUCACAUCGAGAAGAGCUUUAGAAGUGUAGAAUACCGGCAGUUGGGCCCCCAACUCUUCUCGUAUGAGAGCAGAGCUCACUGCUACCUCAGAAAUUACCAAAUAAAUGUAUAAAUCCUCCGCUGCUUCUGGCUUGGAUAGUAAGGGAGGUGAUGUGAGAUAAUUCUUCAAGUCUUGGAAAGCUUUUUCGCAUUCUUCAUCCCAUUUGUCUCUUUGUACCCUCUUGAUAGCUUUGAAAAAAGGGUUUGCAUCGAUCGGUGGAUCGUGAGAGGAAGCGAUUGAGGGCGGCUACUCGUCCGGUCAAACUUUAGAUCUCCUUCAAGGUAGUUGGAGAUUUCAUCUCUAUGAUUGCUUGGAUUUGCUUAGGAUGUGCUUCAAUUCCUCGUUGGGUUACUAAGUACCCUAGAAAUCGGCCUGAAGAUACUCCAAACGUGCACUUGGUGGGGUUGAGCUUCAUCUUGUACCUUCUAAGGAUAUUUGAAAGUUUAUGCUAAAUUACGAAUGUGAUCUGAUCACUGCUUGCCCUUUACCAUGAUAUCGUCGACAUAGACCUCCAUGGUUACCCCAAUUUGCUUUUUUGAACAUCAUAUUUACUAGCCUUUGGUAAGUGGCUCCCGCGUUCUUGAGGCCAAAGGGCAUGACCUUGUAGCAGUAAGUGCCUCGCUCUAUCACGAACGCAGUUUUCUCUUUGUCGGGGCUCAUGCAUGGCUAUUUGGUUGUAGCCGGAGUAUGCGUCUAAGAAACUAAGCAACUGGUUUUCAGAAGUUGAAUCUACUAAUAGAUCAAUCUAGGGGACAGGAUAAUGGUCUUUUGGGCAUGCUUUGUUGAGGUCGGUGUAGUCUACGCAAACCCUCAAUUUGCCAUUCUCUUUCUUCAUGACUAGUACGACAUUAGCAAGCCAUGCUGAAUGUGCUACCUCUUCUAUGAAUCCAGCCUUCAAAUAGUUUGUCGAUUUCUGCCUCGAUGAUCGCUACUCGUUCGGGUGCAAAAUGUCUUCUUUUUGAAUUACCGGUUUGGCAGUUGGAUCGACGUGCAGCUUGUGGCAGGCCACUUUGGGAUCAAUACCGGGCAUGUCGGAUGGUGGUGACUAUGCGAAGAUAUCUCGGUUUUUCCUAAGGAAAAAUUGUGAGUUCUUCCUUCUCGUCUGGGCUUAGUCGUGAGCCAAUUUUAGCCGUCUUUUCCUACUGUUGGGGAUCAAGAAUGAUGUCUUCGACGUCCUCUUCGGGUUUUCCAUCCUAUCUUGUCUUCUUGGGCGCCAUCUUCUCGAUCCACCUGCUGUAAUUGCUAUUUGGUAAUUUCUUUACCCUUUUAGACUUCGGUAACCUCUACGGGGGUAAAUGUCUUCUUUUUUUAUUCUUUCAACAUUUGCACAGUGCAUCGUCGGGAUGAAACCUGGUCAGACUUGAUCUCUCCGACUCCUCCUCCUGGGAUGCGAAAUCGGAUUUUUUGAUACUUGACGGAAGUGACGGCAUCCAGCUUGAUCAACCAAGGUCUCCCAAGAAUCCCAUUGUAGGGAGAUGGGUCACUUACGAUUGUGAAUGUUUGCUUUAAGACGACUGGCGGUGUUUUUACGUCAAGUGUGAUAUGGCCGAUGGCAGUUGAGGUGUGUCCGUUGAAUCCAGUAAGUACAUCUGCCCGGCGUAUGAUUGUACUUUCCAGGCCCAUCUUCUGAAUGACCGAAAGUUGAAGUAGGUUGACUACACUUCCAUUGUCAACCAUCAUCCUGUCGACUAUAGCAUGGGCUAGUUGGACAGAUACUACUAACGCAUCGUCGUGUGGGAAGUCGACUCCUUCUGCAUCCUGCUCCGUGAAGCCAAUGAUAGGUCCAGGUUAGGUAUCGACUGCUUGAACUUGUGAGAUUAGUAAAGCCUGCUGGAUCUUCCUCUUUUUGGAGUUAUUAGUGGCCCCCAAGUGUGCUCGGAUUCAGCGAAAAUGCCAUUGAUUCGAAUCGUCUUAGUUGGUGGCUCCUCAUCUCUGUCUGUAUUCCUUUUUGGCUGCUCAGCUGGCUUGUCCAAAUAUCUAUCGACUUUGCCUUCUUUCACGAGUUUCUCUAGGUAGUUCUUCCAAGUGUAGCAGUCGUUGGUUGUGUGUGACCAGGACCUCGGUGGAAUGCGCAAUACUUGGUGUGGUCCAACUUGGAAAUAUCUCAUUUUGACUGUUUCGGCAACUUGAACCAUGGUUCAUUCUUGAUGUCACGAAGGAUCUGAUGAAUCGAAAUUGAGAACUUAGAAUAGUUAUUGGUCAUCGGGCCUUCUUUGGUCGUGGGUCGGUCUCUACGCUUGACCUCCUGCCUGCCCGUGUUGGGUUGCUUUUCAUCCUUCUUUUGAGCAGCUGCUAACUCUUUUCGAGGUUGUUCGGGAGCUUUUUCUGCUUGUCGAGCCUCGUCCCAAAGUGCAUGCUUCUCCGCCAGAGCAAAGGAAUCUGCUAGAGUUAGGUCUUCUUUCAUGAUCAUUUCUCCAAACAGUGGGUGGUCUGCUGGUAGUCCUUUUUGGAAGGCUGCACUUGCUAUCGAGUUGUCGCGUCCGACGAUCUUCGCCUUCUCUGCUUUGAAUCUCUUCACGUAAUCGCGAAGUGACUCUUUUGGGUUUUUCUUUACGUUGAACAGGUGAUCGAACUUUUUCUUGAUCGAACGAUAAGAUGAGUAUUCUUUGGUGAAAACCAAGGAAAGAUCAUCAAAAUUCUGGAUGGAUCGUGCCGGCAAGGUAUGAAACCAAUCUUGUGCCUCGCCUUGUAAAGUAGUGGCGAAUAUUUUGCACAUAAGGGCGUCAUUAUUCCGAUAAAGGACCAUCGCACUUCGGUAAUGCUUCAAGUGUCUUUCGGGAUCUCUGUCUCCUUUGAAAAAUGUGAAGUGCGACAUGCUAAACUUGCGCGGAGGCUCUGCCUGCUCGAUCUCAUCCGUGAAAGGUGACCUGCUUAUGUUGGUCAUAUCUCGCCUUAGUGCUUCAUCAACGAUUUCGUUGCGUUGAAAAUCACGCAUCCGUUCAUUGAAAAGCCUUUCUACCUCUUCUUGGAUCUGCUUUUGUUGGGGUAGCGUAGUCUUCAGCUGCCCUUGGUCUUUAUCUACCGGUCUAGGCUGCUCUUCUUCUCGCUCGGCUAGUUUAUGCCGUGGCUGCAAUGUAUGAGAUAGAUUCCUAGCAGGCGAGGGAUUUCUUUGUAGGCUACCGGUGGAACUAGAGCCGGAUUGAACAAUUGUUUCCUUCUGUUUGUCAGGCUGCCCGCUCCGAUGUAAUGUGGAGGAUACUCCUUGUGAGCCUAAUCGCGAAUGAAUGCUUUGCCUGGAAGGCUGCCUAUGUUGAUUAUCAAAGCGUGGCCCUAACCGUGAAUGUAUAAUUGCUCGUGGGCCUAAUCGAAAGUGCACGCUCCUCCGCGCGCGAAGAAGGGAGUAUAUACGCUAUUUCGGGGGCCCAAUCGAGAGUGUGCACUGUCUGAAUGCUCGACUUGUGAUGGGUUGAAUGGCUGCUUUCCAGGUCGCUGCUUAAAAGGCUCAUUGUCUACCCUUGUUCUACUUCGGGAAACUUCAUCGUGGGCUCGUUGCAUCUCAGUGCGUUGUAAAAGUUGAUUCACCAAGGGAGUUUGUUAUGCAAGGGCGCUCGUCAAUUCUAUGACUUGUCGGGACAAGUUUUGCUCGCCAUUCGGAUUGGAAGAACUUGGAUGGAAUGCACCUCAUUGAACAAUAAAAGGGUGGUUGACUCCAAGUGCAAGAUUUGAGUUGGGGAAUGUCAAAUCUGCGAAGAAAUGUGGUGAAAACGUCUCAGCCUCGAUGAUUGGUCCGGAUGGUUGAGAUUGUCUCGGGCCGACUUGGGCAGCUUGGGAAACCAUGAGAGCAGGCUGGGCUGUGUGGGCAGGCUGGAUCACUGGGGCAGACUGGAUCGUUGGAGCAGGCUGGGCUACAAGAGCAGGCUGGAUCACGGGAGCAGACUGCUGAAUGCGCGGUGCAUGUGAAUGCGAGGCUUGGGCUUGGGUCCACGUAAACUUGGAUGGCAUUACUUGGAUCAUGGUCUUGGUAUUGUGAGCCUUGGCUGGCAUGGCUCGGGCCGUGGUGAAGGCUCCAUGGACCUUGCCACGAGUGGCUACCGAAGUAGCCACCGCGGUGGUUCCCAUGGUGGGCGUGGUGAAAGCACCAUGGACCUCGCCGCGGGUGGCUACUGAGGUAGCCAUCACGGUGGUUCCCAUGGUGGAAACUUGUGGUGAUGAUGCCGCUCCCUUUAUUGUCGCAUUUUGCCUCACGGAUUUCCGCAAUCCCAUUUCUUGAAUAUUUAGAAUUUUCACUUGUGGAAUUUNNNNNNNNNNNNNNNNNNNNNNNNNNNNNNNNNNNNNNNNNNNNNNNNNNNNNNNNNNNNNNNNNNNNNNNNNNNNNNNNNNNNNNNNNNNNNNNNNNNNNNNNNNNNNNNNNNNNNNNNNNNNNNNNNNNNNNNNNNNNNNNNNNNNNNNNNNNNNNNNNNNNNNNNNNNNNNNNNNNNNNNNNNNNNNNNNNNNNNNNNNNNNNNNNNNNNNNNNNNNNNNNNNNNNNNNNNNNNNNNNNNNNNNNNNNNNNNNNNNNNNNNNNNNNNNNNNNNNNNNNNNNNNNNNNNNNNNNNNNNNNNNNNNNNNNNNNNNNNNNNNNNNNNNNNNNNNNNNNNNNNNNNNNNNNNNNNNNNNNNNNNNNNNNNNNNNNNNNNNNNNNNNNNNNNNNNNNNNNNNNNNNNNNNNNNNNNNNNNNNNNNNNNNNNNNNNNNNNNNNNNNNNNNNNNNNNNNNNNNNNNNNNNNNNNNNNNNNNNNNNNNNNNNNNNNNNNNNNNNNAUCUUCGGAUAUCUUGUUUUCACAUCGAGAAGAGCUUUAGAAGUGUAGAAUACCGGCAGUUGGGCCCCCAACUCUUCUCGUAUGAGAGCAGAGCUCACUGCUACCUCAGAAAAUUACCAAAUAAAUGUAUAAAUCCUCCGCUGCUUCUGGCUUGGAUAGUAAGGGAGGUGAUGUGAGAUAAUUCUUCAAGUCUUGGAAAGCUUUUUCGCAUUCUUCAUCCCAUUUGUCUCUUUGUACCCUCUUGAUAGCUUUGAAAAAGGGUUUGCAUCGAUCGGUGGAUCGUGAGAGGAAGCGAUUGAGGGCGGCUACUCGUCCGGUCAAACUUUAGAUCUCCUUCAAGGUAGUUGGAGAUUUCAUCUCUAUGAUUGCUUGGAUUUGCUUAGGAUGUGCUUCAAUUCCUCGUUGGGUUACUAAGUACCCUAGAAAUCGGCCUGAAGAUACUCCAAACGUGCACUUGGUGGGGUUGAGCUUCAUCUUGUACCUUCUAAGGAUAUUGAAAGUUUAUGCUAAAUUACGAAUGUGAUCUGAUCACUGCUUGCCCUUUACCAUGAUAUCGUCGACAUAGACCUCCAUGGUUACCCCAAUUUGCUUUUUGAACAUCAUAUUUACUAGCCUUUGGUAAGUGGCUCCCGCGUUCUUGAGGCCAAAGGGCAUGACCUUGUAGCAGUAAGUGCCUCGCUCUAUCACGAACGCAGUUUUCUCUUUGUCGGGCUCAUGCAUGGCUAUUUGGUUGUAGCCGGAGUAUGCGUCUAAGAAACUAAGCAACUGGUUUUCAGAAGUUGAAUCUACUAAUAGAUCAAUCUAGGGGACAGGAUAAUGGUCUUUUGGGCAUGCUUUGUUGAGGUCGGUGUAGUCUACGCAAACCCUCAAUUUGCCAUUCUCUUUCUUCAUGACUAGUACGACAUUAGCAAGCCAUGCUGAAUGUGCUACCUCUUCUAUGAAUCCAGCCUUCAAUAGUUUGUCGAUUUCUGCCUCGAUGAUCGCUACUCGUUCGGGUGCAAAAUGUCUUCUUUUUUGAAUUACCGGUUUGGCAGUUGGAUCGACGUGCAGCUUGUGGCAGGCCACUUUGGGAUCAAUACCGGGCAUGUCGGAUGGUGACUAUGCGAAGAUAUCUCGGUUUUUCCUAAGGAAAAUUGUGAGUUCUUCCUUCUCGUCUGGGCUUAGUCGUGAGCCAAUUUUAGCCGUCUUUUCCUACUGUUGGGGAUCAAGAAUGAUGUCUUCGACGUCCUCUUCGGGUUUCCAUCCUAUCUUGUCUUCUUGGGCGCCAUCUUCUCGAUCCACCUGCUGUAAUUGCUAUUUGGUAAUUUCUUUACCCUUUUAGACUUCGGUAACCUCUACGGGGGUAAAUGUCUUCUUUUUUUAUUCUUUCAACAUUUGCACAGUGCAUCGUCGGGAUGAAACCUGGUCAGACUUGAUCUCUCCGACUCCUCCUCCUGGGAUGCGAAAUCGGAUUUUUUGAUACUUGACGGAAGUGACGGCAUCCAGCUUGAUCAACCAAGGUCUCCCAAGAAUCCCAUUGUAGGGAGAUGGGUCACUUACGAUUGUGAAUGUUUGCUUUAAGACGACUGGCGGUGUUUUUACGUCAAGUGUGAUAUGGCCGAUGGCAGUUGAGGUGUGUCCGUUGAAUCCAGUAAGUACAUCUGCCCGGCGUAUGAUUGUACUUUCCAGGCCCAUCUUCUGAAUGACCGAAAGUUGAAGUAGGUUGACUACACUUCCAUUGUCAACCAUCAUCCUGUCGACUAUAGCAUGGGCUAGUUGGACAGAUACUACUAACGCAUCGUCGUGUGGGAAGUCGACUCCUUCUGCAUCCUGCUCCGUGAAGCCAAUGAUAGGUCCAGGUUAGGUAUCGACUGCUUGAACUUGUGAGAUUAGUAAAGCCUGCUGGAUCUUCCUCUUUUUGGAGUUAUUAGUGGCCCCCAAGUGCUCGGAUUCAGCGAAAAUGCCAUUGAUUCGAAUCGUCUUAGUUGGUGGCUCCUCAUCUCUGUCUGUAUUCCUUUUUGGCUGCUCAGCUGGCUUGUCCAAAUAUCUAUCGACUUUGCCUUCUUUCACGAGUUUCUCUAGGUAGUUCUUCCAAGUGUAGCAGUCGUUGGUUGUGUGACCAGGACCUCGGUGGAAUGCGCAAUACUUGGUGUGGUCCAACUUGGAAAUAUCUCAUUUUGACUGUUUCGGCAACUUGAACCAUGGUUCAUUCUUGAUGUCACGAAGGAUCUGAUGAAUCGAAAUUGAGAACUUAGAAUAGUUAUUGGUCAUCGGGCCUUCUUUGGUCGUGGGUCGGUCUCUACGCUUGACCUCCUGCCUGCCCGUGUUGGGUUGCUUUUCAUCCUUCUUUUGAGCAGCUGCUAACUCUUUUCGAGGUUGUUCGGGAGCUUUUUCUGCUUGUCGAGCCUCGUCCCAAAGUGCAUGCUUCUCCGCCAGAGCAAAGGAAUCUGCUAGAGUUAGGUCUUCUUUCAUGAUCAUUUCUCCAAACAGUGGGUGGUCUGCUGGUAGUCCUUUUUGGAAGGCUGCACUUGCUAUCGAGUUGUCGCGUCCGACGAUCUUCGCCUUCUCUGCUUUGAAUCUCUUCACGUAAUCGCGAAGUGACUCUUUUGGGUUUUUCUUUACGUUGAACAGGUGAUCGAACUUUUCUUGAUCGAACGAUAAGAUGAGUAUUCUUUGGUGAAAAACCAAGGAAAGAUCAUCAAAAUUCUGGAUGGAUCGUGCCGGCAAGGUAUGAAACCAAUCUUGUGCCUCGCCUUGUAAAGUAGUGGCGAAUAUUUUGCACAUAAGGGCGUCAUUAUUCCGAUAAAGGACCAUCGCACUUCGGUAAUGCUUCAAGUGUCUUUCGGGAUCUCUGUCUCCUUUGAAAAAAUGUGAAGUGCGACAUGCUAAACUUGCGCGGAGGCUCUGCCUGCUCGAUCUCAUCCGUGAAAGGUGACCUGCUUAUGUUGGUCAUAUCUCGCCUUAGUGCUUCAUCAACGAUUUCGUUGCGUUGAAAAUCACGCAUCCGUUCAUUGAAAAGCCUUUCUACCUCUUCUUGGAUCUGCUUUUGUUGGGGGUAGCGUAGUCUUCAGCUGCCCUUGGUCUUUAUCUACCGGUCUAGGCUGCUCUUCUUCUCGCUCGGCUAGUUUAUGCCGUGGCUGCAAUGUAUGAGAUAGAUUCCUAGCAGGCGAGGGAUUUCUUUGUAGGCUACCGGUGGAACUAGAGCCGGAUUGAACAAUUGUUUCCUUCUGUUUGUCAGGCUGCCCGCUCCGAUGUAAUGUGGAGGAUACUCCUUGUGAGCCUAAUCGCGAAUGAAUGCUUUGCCUGGAAGGCUGCCUAUGUUGAUUAUCAAAGCGUGGCCCUAACCGUGAAUGUAUAAUUGCUCGUGGGCCUAAUCGAAAGUGCACGCUCCUCCGCGCGCGAAGAAGGGAGUAUACGCUAUUUCGGGGGCCCAAUCGAGAGUGUGCACUGUCUGAAUGCUCGACUUGUGAUGGGUUGAAUGGCUGCUUUCCAGGUCGCUGCUUAAAAGGCUCAUUGUCUACCCUUGUUCUACUUCGGGAAACUUCAUCGUGGGCUCGUUGCAUCUCAGUGCGUUGUAAAAGUUGAUUCACCAAGGGAGUUUGUUAUGCAAGGGCGCUCGUCAAUUCUAUGACUUGUCGGGACAAGUUUUGCUCGCCAUUUCGGAUUGGAAGAACUUGGAUGGAAUGCACCUCAUUGAACAAUAAAAAGGGUGGUUGACUCCAAGUGCAAGAUUUGAGUUGGGGAAUGUCAAAUCUGCGAAGAAAUGUGGUGAAAACGUCUCAGCCUCGAUGAUUGGUCCGGAUGGUUGAGAUUGUCUCGGGCCGACUUGGGCAGCUUGGGAAACCAUGAGAGCAGGCUGGGCUGUGUGGGCAGGCUGGAUCACUGGGGCAGACUGGAUCGUUGGAGCAGGCUGGGCUACAAGAGCAGGCUGGAUCACGGGAGCAGACUGCUGAAUGCGCGGUGCAUGUGAAUGCGAGGCUUGGGCUUGGGUCCACGUAAACUUGGAUGGCAUUACUUGGAUCAUGGUCUUGGUAUUGUGAGCCUUGGCUGGCAUGGCUCGGGCCGUGGUGAAGGCUCCAUGGACCUUGCCACGAGUGGCUACCGAAGUAGCCACCGCGGUGGUUCCCAUGGUGGGCGUGGUGAAAGCACCAUGGACCUCGCCGCGGGUGGCUACUGAGGUAGCCAUCACGGUGGUUCCCAUGGUGGAAACUUGUGGUGAUGAUGCCGCUCCCUUUAUUGUCGCAUUUUGCCUCACGGAUUUCCGCAAUCCCAUUUCUUGAAUAUUAGAAUUUUCACUUGUGGAAUUCUAAAUUUCUAGCCAUUAUAUUUUUCUUAUACGUUUUAUCAAAGAACCUUUGCAAGUAAAAAAUUCUAUAAAUAAGAACGUAUGAAAAAUAUUCAAAUGGACUAGAAAACAAAGAAAAAACCUUUUUGCGCAAGAGUCUUUUACGAGUAUGGAUUUCAACUCUCAAUGAAAGCACCAAUUUGUGGAUGCAAAUUUUCUCCUCUUCGAUCUUGGACGAUUUUGCACCUACAAAACAACUAGCACCUUAGGUUAAGGCCAAGAGCCUCACGCGCCCACGAUGAAUGGGGGAGGGCUUUGGCCGAAGAACCUCCGAUGCCAAAGUUAGAAUUUUAGAGAGAAAUAGUGUUUAGAAUAUUUGAGAUUUUUUGUAAGAGAAUUGGAACUAGUGUUUUGUGAAAAUGGGAUCCAAUUUAUAGGAGAGGAAAGGGUGAUUUAUUUUGGGGGGUUAUGGAGAUAAUGGGCUAGUUAUUUUGGGGAGUUAUGGAAAUAAUUGGCUAGUUAAUUAGCAAAUAGUAAUAACCUAAUUAACUAGCUAUUUGAAUGUCAAAAAAAGGGGGAGAAAAUGGCAGCAACAAACAGAAAAUAAAGGGCAUGGCCGGCCCUAGUGGGUUUUUGGUUAUAAUUUGGAGGUUUAGUUGAUAAUUAAGGGAUUGAUUAGGUAAUUAAUCCCUUAAUUAGUCAAUUUUAGGAAAUAUGAAAGGAAAAUACCAUUUAGCUAAUUUAUUAGCUAAAUAAUGGAAUAAAGCAUAUAGAAUAAAUUAGAUUUUUGGGAAUUACCUUAUAGAAAAGAUUUGAUGAAAUAGGCUUUAAAUUGUUACCUAUUUUGGGCACUUUUGAUUUGGUUGAAAGAUGAUUGCCCGCUGCUCGCGCGUAGGAAUCUCGAUAUGCCUCGAGGGUAUUUUUGUCAUCUUUUGUCCAAAAGUUCACGUGUCGCUUAGUGAAUAUUUUUGGCUCCACAGAAGAGACACUGCUCUUCGAAUUUCGAGAGCAAGACGCCUAACAGGAUUGCUUUCUCAAAAAUCAAAGAGGCAUCGCUCUCCAAAUCUCGAGAGCCAGACUCCUAACAGGAUUACAUGCUAAAAAAUCGAAGAAACAUCGCCCUCUGAAUCUUGAGAGCCAGACUCCUAACAAGAUUACUUUCUCAAAAAUAAAAAAGACACUGCUCUCCGAAUCUCAAGAGUCAAACUCCUAACAUGAUUGCUUUCUCAAAAAUCGAAGAGGCACCAUUCUCUGAAUCUCGAGAGCCAGAUCCCCGACAGGAUUGCUUGUUCAAAAACCGAAGAGGCACCGCUCUCUGAACUUUGAGAGCCAGAUUUCCUUGGAUAAAGCUUAUCUGCAAUCUUCAUAUGCAACAUCAGCUUUCCAGAUACCACAGACCACUUUUUCAAAGUGCUCGGAUAAAGUUAAAACACGUGAAACUUGCAGCUUCCACUACAUUGCUAUGACCAAGAAGGGUAAAUGAAUAGCACUACUACUUGUUGUUAGGGAGACUUCUAUAUAUGUCGACCUCCAUCCUCCACAGCCAGGCAAACCUGCAAAUAAAAAAAAAUGCUCAACCUUUCUUCACAUCCGAGAGGGCACUCUCAGCAGAGUCUCUCGAAAUACUCAGCUUCUUUUCCUCCCAAUAAUACCUCUGCAAACAAGCUACACCAGAGCAAGAGUAUCUCAUAUCAUCAGGGUUAAAAGCAAGAGUAUCCUAUAUCAUGCUUUUUCCCUGUCUUUUCCUUUGGCCUUGUUCUUACCUGCAAGACAAGGAGAAAAAGAGCAAUCAGUCAGCACUUGGAAUCAAGCUUCUAGUCAGAAACUGACUGUCUGGAACCCCUUGCCUGAUUACUUACCUGACAUUGCUCUCGAGUACUCAUCUUCAACAUCUUAUGCUUCCAGAGAAGAUACCACAUAUGCCUGAGGAACAGAUAGGGCAAGUGAGAAGGAUACAAGGAAGCAUGUGGAGACAAGCGUAACAGAACACGUACCGAUACAUCCACUACUUUGUCAACAGCAAAAGUAUCCCAUAUCAUCAGGGUCGAACGUACUCUAGAUUUGAUGGACUUGUUUUGACCCUCAAAUUCUUGAGUCGGCCUUAUACUCUGGAGGAAACCAGAAAACCCUCCAGCCCAAUUCAAGAAUAAGCCUGUGGAAAAUUACUUAUUCAAAAACAAAAGUAUCUCAUAUCAUCUCUUCUCCAUUUGCUUCUCCUUAUCCUUGGUGCUAUUUACGACACAAGGAAAAUGAGAACAAUCAACCGGAAGCCGAAGUCGAACCUCCAAUCCAGGUUACUUGCUUGGAAGUCUGAUUGCUUACCUUGUCUGUUACCUCCUUCGACAAAUCUCCUAGCUCGGCGACUUGGGGGACUUCUACUAUAGGGUUUGUAUCGCACUUGACCAAGCCCGAAACUACAAGUAAGCUUCAAGUGAAAUUGAUACAUUACCUUGUGCAUCUUCAUCGGUUAAAGAUACCACCCCUGGAUGGAGGAAAAGUACUUCCAGAAAAGAUGCCACAUCUACAUAUGAGACAGAUAAGGCAAGUGAAAAUGAUACCACACUUCGGUACUUAGAACUUUCGUGAUUACUCAAUGGCUUGGAUCUUGCAAGUCCCCAACCGAGGAGCUUCCCUCACUCAGGAACUUAGGGGAGCACUAUUUGUACCAUACUUGACCAAUCCCGAAACUACUGAGCACCGGUCAACGUUAUACCGUUGAGGACCCAAAAGAGCUUCCCUCCAACCAAGAGGCCAAUCACAGCACGACACGUGUCGACAUCAGAAGCCAAUCACAACACGACACGUGUCAAUGUCAUAAUGAAACUAGAAACUCUAUUCUAUAAAUAGAGAUCAUUCUCUCACAAUAUUUUUUAAUGUCAUUUGUACUAAAUCAUUCACUAGUACUCACUAAAGGAGAGCUUGAAUCUAUGUACUUGUGUAAACCCAUCACAAUUAAUGAGAACUCAUCUACUCCGUGAACGUAGCCAAUCUGGGUGAACCACGUACAUCUUGUGUUUGCUUCCCUAUCUCUAUCCAUUUACAUACUUAUCUAUACUAGUGACCGGAGCAAUCUAGUGAAGGUCACAAACUUAACACUUUCUGUUGUACCAAAGUCCUCACUGAUUUUGUGCAUUAACAACAUCUUUUCUUCGUAAUUUGGUGUGCUGUUAGUAAUAAAUUUACCUUUUAUAAAGGAAAACGUAUUAUUCAUGAUAAUUAUUGUUACUUUUCCAUGAAUACUAGUUUUCAAAUAACUUUUUCAUACCUUGGUUUGGAAUUUAAAAACUCUAAAAUCUCACUUUUUGUGUUUUUAGAAGUAGUCUAAUUUUCAAGUUAGUUUUGAAUUUAGUUUUUGGAAAAGUCAUACCAAAUAAGUAUUCAAGUUGUAAAACUUAAAAAAUGUUUUUGGGUCUAAAAAGUCGGAUUCAAGUUGAAUACCAAACAAGCCCUUAAUAACUCAACUAAAAUUUUGUAAAUAUUUCAACAAGAUUAAUAUAUAUACUAAAUUUUCAACUUGGAAAAGGGUGUGAGAGGGUAUGUGCCCCUCUACUUAUACUUUCACAAGCUCUAAAUACAUGACAAUAUUCCGAAUACACCUCAAAAUUAUUCUCGACAUUCAUAUGCAACAUUACUUAAUAUCUUUUUUUGGUUGUGAAACCAAUAUUUAUUUUUAUCAAAGUACGAUUACGCUUGUAAGCUGGGAUAAUUCUUAUUGAAUUGAAAUAACAAUUAUGACUAUUAAAUAGCCUUACAUCAAAACAGGAAUGGGAAUAACAGCCCAAUAUUUUACGGGACCUAGAAUCGUGGUAAGUGACGAAGUCAAAACAGAAAACAAACUUGUCCCUCAAGUAUAGAAGGGUUAUUAGCACGACCUGAAAUAAAACCCUAAAACAAGGAACCCUAUCAACUAGGAAAUCCCAACAACUUCAACAAUAAAUCAUUGGCAACCAGCAGGGGCAAAUCCAACCUUUCCACCAGCAACGUCAUACACUACCUGCAACCUCUUCUGUUGAACGUUCCCAAUAAUCCCAACAUUCCUAUCAUCUUUGUUUCCGGCAAACGCCAAGCAAAACUGCGAAGCACUCUGCGGGACUACUAUCCCCGUUGCGUCCACAUCUACCGUAACCCCAUUGCCAAACACAAACCCUAUCGUUGGAAAGGUUAUCGUUUUGAAUCCACUGAAGUCGUAACACGUGUCCAGCAGGGAAGAAAUCGACUUAGCAGUUGGGUACCUCUUCAUCGCUUCUCGAAAUGCGUCCCGCAGCGCUGUGUACGCUGUGGCUGGGAGGCGCGUGAUGACCGUCCCCGAGUCGAUGAUUGUCCCCGAAGUCGAAAAUACUGAAGCCGAAAUUGGCAAUUGACUCCCACCGAUGUUGAUGCCCACCAGUCCGAGGCUGUAAUACGACGCGCCUUGAGAUAAUGUGGUGAGCGGCGUGAACUUGACGGCGUUACCUGAACUUCUGUUGUCGGAGUUGCCCAAGCUGAGGUAACCGGUGGAGCUUGAAGUUGAAGGGAGGCAGUAGGAGAAGAAUCUGUUGUACUUCUGAGCGGUUUGUUCAACAAAGGAGAUCUUACUUCGGCCGAGACCGAGCAAACCGGCGAUGCCCCUAAAUAAGCCUUGGUUAUUCUGGCCGCAGCCGAAGACGAAACCAGUAAAAACAUCUGUUGAAGUCAAAGUUAACUUCUCGCUGGCAAAGAAGCCGAUUGUGAAGGAGCGGUCUCCAUACUGUUGGCCGUAAACACAGGUGGAGGCGGAACAAUCGCUGGGGACACCGGAGGCUGCAAGUUGAGAACACGCGGCGGAGUUGCAGGAGAUGUUGGAGUAAGAGGUAGAGAGAGAAGGGUCGAAGAUGGGAUCUUUCUGUUUGUAACAAGAUACAGAACAUGGUCGGCACUGUGUCCAAGUGAGACUGCUGCCGGUGUCGAAUACAAGCGAGAGUUGCUUCUGGGGCGAGCCCAAGCCGACACUGACGAUGUAGUUUCCAGAACCAAGUACGCUGGCAGACUGGGCGGGAAUCACGGUGGCUUCUGAUUGUGCAAGUGGGUCGGGGAUUCUGUAAUUACGGUUUGAGUCGUUGAAAUGGGAGUGGAUUGAGUUGACUCGGGCUUCGUCUUGCUUGAGGAUUUGUAUGUGAUAUUCAUCUUGAUCGGAAGGGUUACUGUUUGAUUUGACUUGGUGGACUUGGUUGCAUGGGCCGUAUUUGUGGACCACUUUCAGUACGGAUGCCGCCUUAUUGUCAUAACCUGAAUUGAGAAAUGUAUAGGUUUGUCGUUAGAUACAAUUUUUUUUUAACAAACGAUAUUAUCUACAUACUUACAUGGUGCCAAUUACUUUUAUGAAGUACAAUAUAUAUAAGUGUGUGUGUGUGUGUGGUGACACGAGUUGUUUUUACACAUGCUUUUAUGGAGCCUAUUCGUAAUGUAUUUCAAUGAUCUGAACUGUUUAUCUUUUAUGUUUCCCCUCAAAGAUCUUGUUUGCCAAAAAUAACCUAGAUCUAAAAUCAUAUGACUGUUGGAUUAACGAUUUAGGUUUUUUUUUUUUUUUUUUUUUUUUUUUCGUAAAACCAUAUUUGUCAAUUUUCUUCACUAAAAGAUAGACGGUUCAUAUCGUUAAAAUACAUGACGGAAUGGGUACAAAAUUAAAAAUAGAAACAUAUGAUACAAAUUUUACCCAUAAAUAUAAACAUACCAAAUGUAACACUUAUGACACUAAAUAGAUUUAUUUGGAAAAUUAAACUUAAAUAUGCUGACAUGUAAUUAUUUCAUUACUAAAAUAAUGACAUAGAUAAAAAUAAAAAUAAAAUAAGAUUUCAAUCGAUGGAAUAGAAAAAUGAGGGAUUUAAACCUAAUUUUUCUAUUAAAAUAUUUCCAUGAACUUGGCACUCAUUCAACACAAUGCAUGCAAUGAUCCAUAUAUAAAGCAAGUAGAAUACGCUUCAUUGAGAUUGAAAAGACAACAUAUGCGUGCAUGGAUAGAGGAGUUAGCUAGAGAGAGAUAUGGGAUCGACCAUUGGUGGAGGGUCUGCAGGUGUUUGCUGGUAGAAGAGAGAUGACUUCAACUGUGUAAGUACGUGAAAGGAGGUUUGUUUUUGUAUCUCUUACUGCCAAAGAGCAGAGAAUUAGGCAUAGAAAUGCUGAUAAACCAAUGGAAAAUCUAAGGAAGGAGGAGGAGCUAGAAAUGGGAGUUGCCAUGAUAGCAGAUUAGCAAGUCUUCUUGCUAUUUCCUCUAGAUUAUGUUGCUCCUGUAAGCAUACGAUCUCAACCUUAUAUACUAAUUGGAAAUUGGAAGACAUGCAGGGAUGGCCACCGUGUUGUCGGGUUUAAUUAUUUUUCUAUUGAAAAGUACAUUGAUCAAUUGGUAAUUACCUACCACCACUCAACUCGUCAAAGUCCAUAGAGACCAUAUAUACACCAACGUUCUCAACACGUUCAAGUCCACUAUAUUACUUCGUUGCAUUCCUCAAGGGACUGUUAGAGAAUAUUACUCGAGUUCAUCCGAUUGUGAUUAAGAAAUCUCGUUAAACAAAUGUUAUUGACAUGCCCCAACUUCGAUAUCCCCAAAUACCAGAAUGGACACAUGUUGGCCGACACUCGAGUGUGACGAAGCCAUAAUGAUACGCAUGCAAGUUAUAAAAGAAGAACGAAUGUAAAUAAAAAUAGGUAAAUUUAAAAUAUAAUGGAAUGUGGAAAUGCAGGAACAUGUUUAGAGUAUACAUCUAAUCAAGAAUAAUGUGAAAGAAUUAUUAUACAAAGGUACAAAUAAAGGAAUGGGUUCUACGCUGAGAAGACUCGAAGAUACCCAUGUGAAAGUGCCCUGACGCCAGGAUCGUACGCCUCGAUUCUAAAUCCUAAAGGGAGCUGUUUGGGCCCAAAAUAAUAGUUUGGGCCGAGGGCAGGAUCACUCUCGGCCUAGGAAGCCGUGCGGCGAAAGGAUUAUGGAUCGGUCAGCUCAUGGGCUUCCAAGCCCAGGUCAGUUAAAUCAGAACGCAAGUCGAGUCCUAGUAUAAUCAGGACUCUCGACGAGAUCAGUAGUCUGGAAGGCGAAUCUGGUUCAGUUAAGGACCAAAUUCGUAGUCCUAGUGGAGAUAGGACUGGUCGAGGUGAUGUUAAUCCGGAGAAGGAAACAUAGUCCGAUUAGGAUUGUAACUCGGGCUCGGUGUUCCGCUACUAUAAAUACAAGACAUUCAGCGACGGAAAAAAGUCCCCUGCAAAUCAAUACAAAAUUGCCCUGCGCAAACUCUCACAACUUGAGAUCUUUUCUUUUUCCUUUUUUCGCUGACACAUCUUCCGUUGGCAUCAACAGCACUGUGGAAGCAACCGGUGAUAUCUUAAGUCGGCAUAGAUAGCUCUGUCACCGUAGAGUCAGUCGGUCUUGCAGUAUCUUCCGUUGGCAUCAACAGCACUGCGGCGAGAACGAUUGAUUACCUAUCCAAGUCUCGGUCGAGAAGGGUUUCUGAAUCCUUAUUGGUCGAGGUCAUCUCAUUAGCCUUUUCGGCGAAGUGAGGUGUUACAGUUAUUAUAUUCGGCACGUUGAAAGCCGAAUUCGGUUCGUGAACUUCGUAAGAAUAGCAGCCUUGUCUUCAGGCUCGAGAACCCAAGAGGCCGAGACGUGUUCCUUUCUCGGCCGCAAUCGCAAGACGCAGAAGUCAGUAGCGCGACCCAACGCAACAUCAACAAAUUUACUCCUCGGCCGAGCUCGGCCGACGAGUUGGCACGCCCCGCAUUCAUCGAAGGACGUAGUUAGCUCAUUAAUUACUCGGCCUGCGCGCCACGUAGGCUUGGUAGUUUUUAGGGUCAACCUGAGCGUAAAACAAAGGGUGAGUGGACCAAAGUGUAUAAUGCUAAUACUAAUAAUAGUAAACCAUUUUCUUUCUGAACAUAUUAACCCAUUGUUCUGAAAACUCAAAUAGUACUACAUAAUAGGUUUUAUGAAAACUCUAGCAUGUCAUGAAAACGUUCAUAAAACAUGUACUAUAAACCAGUGCUCAGUAAUGGUAUCAUAGUCACCCGAAGUCAAAUCCAUAAAACCUUCGAAAAUCCAAAAUAGUAAAGUACUCAACUAGGGGUAUCAUAGUCGCUCAAAGGUAUAACCAUCACCUGAAGGUGAAGCUGUAAGAAAUAUAACAUAACACAUCGACACUAGCCGUGGCUAGUGAAGCUGUCUGACAUUGGUUUCAUCAAUGAUGCUGGGAUUAUGUCAUAAAUAUCCUCAACUCUAUCCUAUGGCCUUAGGUGACUACAUACGCGUGUUGUGUGUAUGUGCUGUAUGAUAACCCAUUAGAUAAGCACAAAAAAUGUAUCUCAAAAUCUCAUAACAAAUCACCGGAGCUAAAAUACUCAAAGCAUCAAUUCAUAAACCAUGAUAAUUCAUAUCGUUUCAUAAAAUGUAAAUUCAAUAAAUCGUAAAUAAAUCAUAAAACAUACAAUCAUGAAAUCAUGCUUUUCGUGAAUGCAACCCUAAUAUUUUAUAAAACAUGCAAAUUAAGAAGACACUCACAAAUAUUCUGUUGGCGGGGAGUCGCUCGAACUAGAAAGGACGGGGCCACUUCCAACCGACACACCUAAAUACAAAUAAAGAGCAUUUAAUAAAAUUCUACUAAAACAUUAGAAUUUGGAAAAACAGAUAGCGGAUUCGGAUUUGGCACGUUGAAAAACCUAAGGAGGGACCUUGGGUUCCCCUACGUGCCACCACUGAGCGGCGGCCCGAAAUGCCACCUGCCACCACACAUGCCGCCACGAAGCAGUGGCCUGGAAGGACACGCACCACCGCACUCGUAGCACGUGCUAAUAUGGUAGCUGAAAAAUUCGCCUACACCGUCAUGGAUGGUGGCUGAGCACAGUACCUCCGACGGAGGCAUGUAUGCUCCACACACCGACUAUGGCAAUCCUCCACGGGCACCCAUGCGUGGCCUACGCUUCAACUAAGGAAU